rnacentral:tRNA from 1 species
UCCCUGGUGGCUCAGAUGGUAAAGAACCUGCCUGCAAUGCAGGAGACCUGGGUUCGAUCCCUGGAUUGAGAA